rnacentral:rRNA from 1 species
UAGGGAAUCUUCCACAAUGGACGCAAGUCUGAUGGAGCAACGCCGCGUGAGUGAAGAAGGUUUUCGGACCGUAAAGCUCUGUUGUUGGUGAAGAAGGAUAGAGGUAGUAACUGGCCUUUAUUUGACGGUAAUCAACCAGAAAGUCACGGCUAACUACGUGCCAGCAGCCGCGGUAAUACGUAGGUGGCAAGCGUUGUCCGGAUUUAUUGGGCGUAAAGCGAGCGCAGGCGGAAGAAUAAGUCUGAUGUGAAAGCCCUCGGCUUAACCGAGGAAUUGCAUCGGAAACUGUUUUCUUGAGUGCAGAAGAGGAGAGUAGAACUCCAUGUGUAGCGGUGGAAUGCGUAGAUAUAUGGAAGAAUACCAGUGGCGAAGGCGGCUCUCUGGUCUGCAACUGACGCUGAGGCUCGAAAGCGUGGGUAGCGAGCAGGAUUAGAUACCCUGGUAGUCCAUGCCGUAAACGAUGAGUGCUAAGUGUUGGGAGGCUUCCGCCUCUCAGUGCUGCAGCUAACGCAUUAAGCACUCCGCCUGGGGGAGUACGACCGCAAGGUUGAAAC